CUAUGCGCCUUGCCAGCCCGCUCAGGUGUGCCAGCCGCCGCGGUAAUACGUAGGUGGCAAGCGUUAUCCGGAUUUAUUGGGUGUAAAGGGCGUGUAGGCGGGAAUGCAAGUCAGAUGUGAAAACUAUGGGCUCAACCCAUAGCCUGCAUUUGAAACUGUAUUUCUUGAGUGCUGGAGAGGCAAUCGGAAUUCCGUGUGUAGCGGUGAAAUGCGUAGAUAUACGGAGGAACACCAGUGGCGAAGGCGGAUUGCUGGACAGUAACUGACGCUGAGGCGCGAAAGCGUGGGGAGCAAACAGG
rnacentral:rRNA from 1 species